rnacentral:rRNA from 1 species
GAGCGAACGCUGGCGGCGUGGAUUAGGCAUGCAAGUCGAACGAGAAUCUGAGAGUUCAAGUUUUCGGACAAGAACUUUUGGAGGAAAGUGGCGGAAGGGUGAGUACAACAUGGAUAAUCUACCUUCAAGUUGGGUAUAGCUUCCCGAAAGGGGAGAUAAUCCCGAAUGUGGUGAUCCGGCGCAUGCCGGAGAAUCCAAAGGCGGGACCGCAAGGCCUGCCGCUUGGAGAUGAGUCCGUGCACUAUCAGCUAGUUGGCGGGGUAACGGCCCACCAAGGCGAUGACGGUUAGCUGGUCUGAGAGGACGGUCAGCCACACUGGGACUGAGAUACUGCCCAGACCUCCUACGGGAGCUGCAGUCGAGAAUCAUUCGCAAGUGGGCGCAAGCCUGACGGUGCGACGUCGC